AUGCUUUUUUUUUUGAGAAAUCUCGCCGACUUUACUAAUCUUUAUUUUUACAUAUAUACAUACAUACAUAUAUAUAUAUAUAUAUAUAUAUAUAUAUAUAUAUAUAUAUCUUUCCCUACUAAUAAAGCACGGAGUGCUUCUGCCCGUCCGUCGUCAACUUUUACAGAAAACACCCUGAUUUUACUGAUAAUCAACCCGCAAUCCUAUUAUCCAGUCAACCUGAACCGGUACGGGCAACAGAAAAGAAAAAAAACACCCGAGACCCACGACCUUGCCUCCCAUCCAUCCAUCGCGCGCCGCAACCGCCGGCCACCACCCAUCCGGCGCGCGCCGCCGCCGGCCGCUCCUUCCGCCGCGCGCCGCCGUCGCCGGGCCCACCCUCAAGUAAAGGGAACCAAACAAAUUUCCUACAGAGGAGAAGGGAACAGAACAAAUUUCAUCCGAGGAGAAGGGAAAAGAACGAAAUUUCCUCCGUAA
rnacentral:rRNA from 1 species